GCCAAGAACGACCUUGAACUUCUGAUCCUCCUGCCCCUGCCUCCCAAGUGCUGAAAUUACAGUGCACCACAAUACACUCAGCACCCUCCCUCCUUCCCUCCUUCUCUCCCUUCAUUCUUUCUCUUUUUUGGCAGGGUUUCAUGUAAUGCAGGUUGGUCUCAAAUUCAAUAUGUAAUAAAGGACAGCCCUGAACUCCUGAUUCUUCUACCUUAGCCUGCCAGCGCUCAGACUUCAAGCAUAUACCACUAUGACUGGCUUCUGAAAUGUAGAAGAUUUGAUCUUGAACUAUUGACCUUAGCAGAGUAUUCCUCUUAACAGCAGGCAAUACAAGGCUGAGUGCCAGGAGGCUAAGCUUCUUGGGGCUCCCCCUUGUGUUUCUCCAAUGUUAUCGUAGCUCCUUAGGUUGUUGGACCUGAGAGACUGGAGGGAAGCUGGUCCUAGACAGUACUUCAUCUUUUUCUUUUCUUUCUUUUUCAGUACUUGGAAUUGUACCUAGAGCCUUAAACACACUCUACCACUAAGUUACACCUCAUCCCCGUUCUGCCUCUUUAACAAGUCCAUUCCAAGCACAGCUCCCUCAAGUCAGACCACGGCCAGAUGUGGUGGCGCACGCCUUUAGUACCAGCACUCUGGAGGCAGAGGCAGGUGGACCUCUGUGAGAUCAAGGCCAGCCUGAUUUACAUAGUCCACUGCCGAGCUGAGCUGGCCUUCCUGCCUCUCCUGGCAUAGUCAACACAAACUGUGGAUGAAGAUCUGUGCCAAGGUCCCCGGAGACUCCAGAGAAGAGAGAUGCCCAGUCCCCAGGAGGAGGGUCCCCAAGGGGAGGGUCCCCAAGAGGAGCACAGGCCAGCUGCAACUCCUGAAUCAUCCAUCCACCUACAUCUUCCCCAAACUGGCCCCAGUCCACCCAUCACCCUUUGGUCUCUAUCUUCCACCCAAGUGCUGGGAUCAUAGUUGUGCACCACUAAUGCCUGGUUUUACGUGAGCUGGGGGGUGAACCCAGGGCUUCAUGCAUGCUCGGCAAGCACUCUACCAAUGGAUCCAUGUCUCCACCCAAUCCUUCAACCUCUCCUUUAUGGCAAAUAAUAGUUUUCUAUCUUAGCGAUUUAAAAUGCCCAUUUUAAGGCCGGGCAUGGUGGCACACGCCUUUAAUCCCAGCACUUGGGAGGCAGAGACAGGCGGAUCUCUGUGAGUUCCAGGCCAGCCUGGUCCACAUAGUGAGUUCCAGGACAGGGGCUACAGGGAGACCCUGUCUCAAAAAGAUAAAAAAAAAAAUGUCCAUUUUAAGGAUGAAGAGAUGGUACAGUGGUCAGGAGCGCUUCUUUGCCCUUUUAGAGGACUUGAGUUUGGUUGCCAGCAUCCAUUUGGGCUGCUCACAAGUGCCUACAUAUAACACUAGUUCCAGGGUAUCUGAUGCCCUUUUUUGGCUUCCAUGGGUACCAGCACACACAUGGCCUACACUGAGUCAUAUAUGCACACACACACACGUGCACACACUUAAAAAUUUUUUAAAAUUGUUUUAUUUAUGUGUAUCUGUGUGUUGGCAUGUACACAAGAGUACAGAUGCCAAAGGAAACCAGAGGCAUUGGAUACCCCUGGAGCUGGAAUUACAGGCAGU